rnacentral:rRNA from 1 species
UUAUAAUUUAAUAUAUGUAUAUACAACCUCAACUCAUAUGGGACUACCCCCUGAAUUUAAGCAUAUUAAUUAGGGGAGGAAAAGAAACUAACCAGGAUUUUCUUAGUAGCGGCGAGCGAAAAGAAAUCAGUUCAGCACUAA